UUGGAUUGAAAAUCAAAAUGAAAUUCUCUCCGUGUGUCGUUCCAUUUUUAAAUAUCUUGUUAAAAUUUGUAAAGCGAAUGUUAAAUAAGGUCAGCAUCAUACAAUUCAAGAAGCAAUGACGUGUUUUCCCGUUAAAUGUGUAACCAUAGAAAAACACCUUGCUAUUCUUAUUCUUUCAAUUCUUAUUCUUUUAGUUUGUGACGAUCGUGUAUAAUCUCUGAUAGAACACGGACGCACGCACCGACGCACGCACGCAUUCACGAUAGGAAGAUGUGUUCUCCAUAUUAUGCGAAUAUCGUCAUCAAGAGCGUUGGUGUCUGGGUUGCUCUGGAUAUCUGCCUUCGGCGGGACGAAAAGAAACAGCAAGGAGAGUGAAGAAGGUUAGCGGAUGUUAUCGUACAAACGCGAAACAACGUGUAUUUGAAAAAUAUAACGGAUGUAACGGUAUCAACUGCUAUUUUAUUGAAAUUGCAUCUAAUCUAAUCUAAUCGGCUUUUUCUCUGUGGUUCGGGAUUAACGAGCUUAGCUUGCUUGUGGUUUUGAUUAAACGAAGAAAUAAAAAAUGCUUUUGAAAUUCAUGGAAAGUUACUAGUUAGAAAAGAUUUCAAAAAAAAGGAACAAGAAAAAAAAAGAAGAAAUGAAGAUGGAAGAGAUUAACCGAGACGUCGAAGAUAUUUAAGAGAGAGAGAGAGAGAGAGAGAGAGAGAGAGAGAGAGAGUCUGUCUGACGUCAUUUGACGUAACAGUAAUAGUAGAGAGGAAAACGUGAUCGACGUAUCCUUCGUUGAGAUCGCUAAAGCGUCUUCACCAACACGCAUACAGGUGUUCUCGCAAUCUAAGCAGUGACAGACGUUUCUGGACUGGUACAUACAUAUAUCAAUUACAAUAUCAAAUUCCUUAUGGACCGAACGUCUCGCUGAAUUAGUUUUGUUUAAAAAGAAAAAAAAAGAAGAAGAAAAAGAAAAAGAAAAGAAUGAUGAUAAUAAUGAUGAUAACGAUAAUGAUAAUUCGUUCUUUCAAACUCCAUCGUCGAAAUUAAAAACCUAACGCGCAAGUUUAUACGAACAAUUACAAAACAUUAUAUCGCGUAAUUUCGUGUAAAAUUAUCACGAUGAAAGUCAAAUAUAUUCAUGAUAGAUAUCAAAAAUAUAUUUAGAUCCUGAUAAAAUAUAUUACGAAUAUCGGAUCUGAUUAAUUUCGUAGCAAACGCGUAAAAAGAAUAUCGAGUUAAAAAUGCAAUAUAUAAUAAUAAGACGAAGUAAAGAUGUAGAUGGUCUGAAGCCACUGUGACUGAAGGAUGCAGCUAAACAAAAAGGAAUUAAACGAAAUAAAACAAAACGAAACAAAACAGAAAUGAACGAAAAGAAAUGAAAGAACGAAAAAGAGACACCCACUCCUCACCUUCAUCCCCCUGAAAAAAGAAAAAGAAAAAGAUGACGCAAGAAAAAUAUCAAUCGUCGUUAAGAUGCUAAUUCGAGAAGCAAAAGUCAACGAACGAGAUCCCGAUGGAGGUGGAUGCCAAGAACGAUGGCAGUUAGUAGUAGUAAACUCGUCUCAUCGUUGCUGGCAUAACAGGUUUCGGUGAAAUUCGAGAGAAUGCGUUCGCGUUCGCGAGGGAACUCUCCUCUCUCGAGUUCAGUCCCGGCAGCACGCGCACUCUCGACGAAGGAAAUCCACCCGUGGACGACCUGGAAGCGAAUUACGUCAGACGACCUGGGGUCCAACGAACCCAGAUUCCGUACAUUUACUGCUGCUCUUUCCGGCAGAUCCAUGCGAGAGAAGAAGAAAGUAAUGGCCAGGUUCAAGGGCCUGGAAAGUCCGGUUCGUUGUUCCAAAUUCCAAGUGGACCUACUCGAGGAAUUAAAGAUGUAAUCUUUAGGGUAAGGUACGAUUUACGUUGAAAAGGGGGUAUGGAUCUCUCCGAUCGCAUCUUCCGAAUGAUUUCCGAUGAUUUCCGUGCUCCUUCGAGAGGCUUUGAAAACGUUGACAGAUAAUAUGGCCGUCGUAUAUGAUACCUUUACUUCCUUGAAUCGAGAACAUGAUCUUUUUCGAUCGAAUCUCUCAACGUAGGUAAGUUUAAUAUGCGAAUAAACAAUUGUAAGAGCGUACGAACGACACGCGUCGGAGAUCUCGCUGACUGGUACCAUGCUCUCCAUCUUUUUUUAUGUUCCACUUUAACUGGCGCCACUCUGCAAAUGACACGUAGUCGAUUCUACGUAUACCCACUCGAUCUGAUGACGCAUCGAUCUUGUUACCAUAUUUUUUCUUUCUCUUUCUCCGAUAAAGAAAGAGAAAGAAAACGAAGAAGAAAAAGAAAGAAAGAAAGGAAACGUCACCUUACCAUAUACUUUUGCAAAUGCAAAAUCAAAAGAGUUUACUAAUUUUUCUCGAUAAAAAUCGUCGGACUUCAGCUUUCUUUUUCGAAGUUAUUUUUUUUCCCCUUUGUUUUUUGUUUACUUUCUUUCUCUCUUUUUCAUUAUUGUCAUUAUUAUUACUAUUAUUAUUUUUCUUUCAAAGGUAAAGAUAAAAAAAAAGAAGAAGCUUUAAACAAAAGUUUAAGAAGUGAUCCCAAGAAGCAAAGGCACAACCUGACCCAGACGAUCAGGACUCGUUCAUCCCUUCCCUUCCUUCCUGGUCGGUCAAGGCCAACAUCGUCUCCCGCAUCUCCUUAGUUCGUUUUAUAUACUCUCCUUCAUUCACUUAUCACGCAAAAAGGCUGUGUCAGCGUGAGCGAGUGCCUUCCUUCGAAAGUCUUUUAACGAGCUACACUCGCACACAAUUUCACCUAACACAUAUUAAACCUGUGUAUCUAUAAAAGUAGAGAAUCAGCCUUUUUAGAAAUAGGAAGUCGAACGAAUUCUUUGGAAAAUUACUUCACCUUUACAAAAUCGAUAAUGAUAAAUAAAUCGCAGUGAAUAUUUGCGAACGCUUGCGACGAGCACAGCUUGUACUUUUUCGCUUUUGUUGUUAGAUUGAAAAGAGAAAAAGAAAGAGAAAUAAAAGUAAAAGAAAGAGAAAGAAAGAGGAAGAAGAAGAAGAAGAAGAAAACGGAAGGAGAGAAAAAGAAAAAAACUGCUAAAUAUAUGAUUAAAAAAAAAGAAAGAAAGAAAGGAAGAAAAAGAAGAGAAUAAAAAAAGAAGAAUGCUUCUCAUUUUGAUGAAAUUCUUCAGCAACUUUCGUAAUCAACGAUUCUUCUCGUUCGAUAAGCGGAUCGUUUCGUUAUAUCUCUUCGUAUUUCUUGAUUCUUUCUCUCUUUUUCUCUCUCUCUUUCCGAAGCCGGUGAAUGUCAAGGCCAGUCAUCCUCGUUCCUAUUGGUCGACGGCCAUUACCCCGGAAGAGUUCUCUCUCGCGGGUCCGGAACGUCGCGCCGUCGACCGUGGAGAAUAUCGAUCUCGGUCGUUUCGAAUAAGAAACGUUCAAAGAGAAACUCUGCGAGUAGUCGAGUUGAGAGAAAAUCAAUUUUUCGAGAGGAAAAAUAAAAAAGAAAAAAGAAAGAAAAAAAGAAAGAAAAUAAAUGGAAUCGUUCGUUAAUCGUUCGUUCGUUCGUUCGUUUUUUCGUUCGUUCGUUCGUUCUUUUUUCUUCGAGUUUGUUCAUUCGAGUCGACAUUCCGAUGCAAUCCGAUUGGAAAAGAAAGUCUCCUUACGAGAAUCGAGAGGAUCGAGUGGAAUGUUCCGGGUGGGCCGGAAGGGGAAUCCGCUGAUGAUUCAUCUCUUUCUCUCCUAACGAGUGACGUAAGAUCGAUAAAGAUCGUGAUGUAAUUAUACAUGUUCUUUCGAUCGUAACAUACGUAUUUAUCUAUUUAAUAAGACGAUUGCCAAAAUCAAGAUUGAUAAAUUCUGCUGUUUUAACUCAACUUUAUAUGUUACGAAUUCUUUUUUUUUUUAAUUUUAUUAUUUCAUUUAUAUUUCUUAUUUUAAUGUAAAUUUUAACAAUUAAAAUUGAUAUUUUACAGUCGAUAUACGUAUACAGAUAUAUAGAUAUCUAUAUAAAGAAGAAUUGUCAAAAUCGUAUUACUCAGGAUAUUUUACGUUGCAUUUCUUAUUCCAUAUAUACGUAUGUUUGUGU